rnacentral:rRNA from 1 species
CCUACGGGAGGCAGCAGUGAGGAAUAUUUGUCAAUGGACGAGAGUCUGAACCAGCCAAGUAGCGUGAAGGAUGACUGCCCUUUGGGUUGUAAACUUCUUUUAUAAAGGAAUAAAACGAGGCACGUGUGCCUUUUUGCAUGUACUUUAUGAAUAAGGAUCGGCUAACUCCGUGCCAGCAGCCGCGGUAAUACAGAGGAUCCGAGCGUUGUCCGGAUUUGUUGGGUUUAAAGGGAGCGUAGAUGGGUUGUUAAGUCAGUUGUGAAAGUUUGCGGCUCAACCGUAAAAUUGCAAGUGAUACUGGCAGUCUUGAGUACAGUUGAGGUAGGCGGAAUUCGUGGUGUAGCGGUGAAAUGCUUAGAUAUCACGAAGAACCCCGAUUGCGAAGGCAGCUUACUAAACUGUGACUGACAUUGAUGCUCGAAAGUGUGGGUAUCAAACAGGAUUAGAUACCCCUGUAGUC